GUUGGUGAGGUAAUGGCUCACCAAGACUAUGACACUUAACUGGUUUGAGAGGAUGAUCAGUCACACUGGAACUGAGACACGGUCCAGACUCCUACGGGAGGCAGCAGUGGGGAAUAUUGCACAAUGGACGGAAGUCUGAUGCAGCAACGCCGCGUGGAGGACGACACAUUUCGGUGCGUAAACUCCUUUUAUAUGAGAAGAUAAUGACGGUAUCAUAUGAAUAAGCACCGGCUAACUCCGUGCCAGCAGCCGCGGUAAUACGGAGGGUGCAAGCGUUACUCGGAAUCACUGGGCGUAAAGAGCGUGUAGGCGGGUUGAUAAGUUUGAAGUGAAAUCCUAUAGCUUAACUAUAGAACUGCUUUGAAAACUGUUAACCUAGAAUAUGGGAGAGGUAGAUGGAAUUUCUGGUGUAGGGGUAAAAUCCGUAGAGAUCAGAAGGAAUACCGAUUGCGAAGGCGAUCUACUGGAACAUUAUUGACGCUGAGACGCGAAAGCGUGGGUAGCAAACAGGAUUAGAUACCCUGGUAGUCCACGCCCUAAACGAUGUACACUAGUUGUUGUGAGGCUCGACCUUGCAGUAAUGCAGUUAACACAUUAA
rnacentral:rRNA from 1 species